AUUUGAUAAGUUUCGGUGUCGUGUGUGGAAUUUGGAUAUUUCAACAUUCAUUAGGAUUGAAUCUGUGUGUAAUUCGUAUUUUUGAUGUUAUUUGAGGUUAUUUUAGGAUUCGACUAAGUUCCUAUCAGGUUAUAAGACUUUUUAGUAUGUUUGGUUGAGGUCCCGGAGGCCUCAGGUUGAUUUCGGGUGGUUAACGGAUUUGGUUUUGAGUUGGUGAAAUAGCUGAAGUUUGUGGUUUUUGGUUCAUUUGGUUUCCUCUUAUACAUUUGCGAGGGAGGUCUCGUGUUCGUGAAGUGUACUUGGAGGCCGAUCGAAAUUUUCUCUUCGUGUUAGCGAAGAGGAGCCCAUGUUUGUGAAGAUGUGGUCAGUGGAGGCAUGGCGAACGCGAGAAGCGUAAUGCAUUUGAGAAGAGGAGUGAGGAAGCUGGGGACCCUAGCCAUUUGGUCUAUGCAUUCGUGGAAGGGUAGGUGAGGGGUCAACAAAACGUUGCAUUCGUGGUUGGUUGGAUGCAUUUGCAAAGAGGGUUUUGCGCGACAGAAUCAAUUGUUCUACGUGAACGCGAGUGAAAAGCCAUGUUCGCGAUGAAGGAAUAUUUGGGUAGCAGUGUUAAAUUUCAAAAACGAGGAUUUGAACCCAUUUUUUAUAUUUUGAGCUAGAGAGCACAGAUGGGUGAUUCAUGAAAGGAUUUUCAAGGAGUUGAUUGGGGUAAGUGAUUCUUACUUAGUUUUAACUAAAUUCCAUGAUUAUGCCUUGAAUUCCAUCAUCUAAUUUGGGCUUUGGGGUGGAAAAUUGGGGGAAAAGAGGAAUAUUUCUUGAGUUAGAUUUUUGAGGUUUCGAAUGAGAUUUUGUUAUUGCAUUUGGGUAAAUUUGGUAAGGUUAGCCUCGUGCAUGAAUGAGCUUUCGGGUUUUAUAACUUUUGUUGAAUUUCGAGACGUGGGUCCAGGGGGCCGGGUUUGAGCUUAUUUCAAAUUUUGGCUAUAAUUUUGUGUUUUUCUUGUAGAAUUGACCCCUUUAUAUUAAUUGUAUUUGUACUGCUUGUUGCUAGAUUCAAAAUUUUUGGAGACCGAUUUGAGAGACAAAGGCAUUUUGGAGUAUAAUUGUUCCCGGAUUGAGGUAACUAACACUUUCAAACUUGGUUUUGAGGGUUCAAGACCUCGAACUAUGUG
rnacentral:lncRNA from 1 species